rnacentral:rRNA from 1 species
GAAAUGCGACUAAGUAAUGUGAAUUGCAGAAUUCAGUGGAAUCAUCGAAUCUUUGAACGCACCUUGCGCCCUUUGGCUAUUCCGAAGGGCAUGCCUGUUUGAGUAUCAUGAACAUCUCAACUCCUCGCGGUUUGCCCGUGACGAGCUUGGACUUUGGGGGUCUUGCCGGCCUGCGGGUCGGCUCCUCUCAAAUGAAUCAGCUUGCCGGUGUUUGGUGGCGUCACAGGUGUGAUAACUAUCUACGCUUGUGGUUUUCCGCCAGGUAACCUCCAGCGAUGGGGGUUCACUGGAGCUCACAAACGUCUCUCCUCGGUGAGGACGGCUUUUCGAACGUUUGAUCUCAAAUCAGGUAGGACUACCCGCUGAACUUAAGCAUAUCAAUAAGCGGAGGAAAAGAAACUAACAAGGAUUCCCCUAGU